GACGAACGCUGGCGGCGUGCUUAACACAUGCAAGUCGAGCGGGAUCCAACCGGUGGCAACACCGGGGAAGAUCUAGCGGCGAACGGGUGAGUAACACGUGAGCAACCUGCCCCGAAGACUGGGAUAACACCGGGAAACCGGUGCUAAUACCGGAUGUCGUCAUUAGGCCGCAUGACCUGAUGAUGAAAGGAUUCAUCGCUUCGGGAGGGGCUCGCGGGCUAUCAGCUUGGGUGGGGUAACGGCCUACCAAGGCGACGACGGCUAGCCUGGUCUGAGAGGACGACCAGCCACACUGGGACUGAGACACGGCCCAGACUCCUACGGGAGGCAGCAGUGGGGAAUCUUGCGCAAUGGGCGAAAGCCUGACGCAGCAACGCCGCGUGGGGGAUGAAUGCCUUC
rnacentral:rRNA from 1 species